rnacentral:misc_RNA from 1 species
UCCGAGUUGACCCCGGCAGUCUCCUGCGAGUCCCCGCCAUUACGCGCUGGCAACACAGGACAAGGGUUGCGCUCGUUGCGGGACUUAACCCAACAUCUCACGACACGAGCUGACGACAGCCAUGCACCACCUGUCACCCAGUCCGAAGAGGGCCCCAUCUCUGAGGCUUUCCGGGUGAUGUCAAACCCAGGUAAGGUGGGGAUGACGUUUCCUUCCAUCACA